CUUUAUUAUGGAAGACUGACAGCUUAAAUUGAGACAUGGUUGGUGGCAUCCCUAACAAUUCAUAGAUCUCAACUGAAGAAGUGGAUGGAGAGCCCCUUCUCGACCAGUUUAGUUGUCUUGCUGGUCUUAGUUGCUUCCUUGUACACCAUGGAAGGACGGUUUCUUGAUGGAGAUGCGAAGGCAAGGGCUUUAGGAGGAAGAGCUAGUGAUCCACCUCCCUCUCCUGUGCCAAAUCCGUGGAAACGCUUUCCACCAAAUGUAUCAUCGCAUGGUUAAAGCCAUGGAUCCAAGAGAUAGACCGAGUUGGUCCUUGUACAUGCAUUAUUUAUGGGGAGAGAGAAAAGGAGGGUUAAUCUAAGAAAUAUUUGUUUGAUGAAAUAUUAAUGAUUGUUCCUUCCCCUCUAUUGCAGUCAAUUUGUGUUUAAAGGAUAAAAUCUUAAGCUUUUGUGGCUAUUUUUAUUGUAUACUUGUAUCUUCUUCCGUUUUAUAAUUUGAAUCUUUGUACUUGGGUCCA